rnacentral:rRNA from 1 species
GAUUAACGCUGGCGGCGUGCCUAAUACAUGCAAGUCGAACGGAAACCUUCGGGUUUUAGUGGCGAACGGGUGAGUAACACGUAAGCAACCUACCCUAAAGACGAGGAUAACCAUUGGAAACAGUGGCUAAGACUGGAUAGGAAGAUAAAAGGCAUCUUUUAUCUUUUAAAAGACCUAGUAAUAGGUAUGCUUUAGGAGGGGCUUGCGCCAUAUUAGUUAGUUGGUAGGGUAAUGGCCUACCAAGACGAUGAUGUGUAGCUGGACUGAGAGGUUGAACAGCCACAUUGGGACUGAGACACGGCCCAAACUCCUACGGGAGGCAGCAGUAGGGAAUUUUCGGCAAUGGAGGAAACUCUGACCGAGCAACGCCGCGUGAAUGACGAAGUACUUCGGUAUGUAAAGUUCUUUUAUCAAGGAAGAAAAGCAAAUGGCGAACCAUUUGUUUGCCGGUACUUGAUGAAUAAGCCCCGGCUAAUUAUGUGCCAGCAGCCGCGGUAAGACAUAAGGGGCAAGUGUUAUCCGGAAUUAUUGGGCGUAAAGGGUGCGUAGGCGGUCUAGUAAGUCAGUGGUGUAAUGGCAACGCUUAACGUUGUCCGGCUAUUGAAACUGCUAAACUUGAGUUAGAUAGAGGCGAGUGGAAUUCCAUGUGUAGCGGUAAAAUGCGUAAAUAUAUGGAGGAACACCAGAGGCGUAGGCGGCUCGCUGGGUCUUAACUGACGCUGAGGCACGAAAGCGUGGGGAGCAAACAGGAUUAGAUACCCUGGUAGUCCACGCCGUAAACGAUGAGUACUAAGUGUCGGGUUAAACCGGUACUGAAGUUAACACAUUAAGUACUCCGCCUGAGUAGUACGUACGCAAGUAUGAAACUUAAAGGAAUUGACGGGACUCCGCACAAGCGGUGGAUCAUGUUGUUUAAUUCGAAGAUACCCGAAAAACCUUACCAGGUCUUGACAUGUUUUUGCAAAAUGAUAGUAAUAUCGUGGAGGUUACCAGAAACACAGGUGGUGCAUGGUUGUCGUCAGCUCGUGUCGUGAGAUGUUAGGUUAAGUCCUAAAACGAGCGAAACCCUUAUCGUUAGUUGCCAGCACGUUAUUGGUGGGGGACUUUUAACGAGACUGCCAAUGAUAAAUUUGGAGGAAAGGUGAAGGAUCACGUCAAAUCAGCAUGCCCCUUAUUGACCUGGGCUACAAACGUGAUACAAUGGCUGUUACAAAGGGUAGCUGAAACGCAAGUUCUUGGCCAAUCCCCAAAAACAGUCCCAGUCCGGAUUGAAGUCUGCAACUCGACUUCAUGAAGUUGGAAUCGCUAGUAAUCGCGAAUCAGCAUGUCGCGGUGAAUACGUUCUCGGGGUUUGUACACACCGCCCGUCAAACCACGAAAGUUGG